rnacentral:rRNA from 1 species
GGUAAAAAAGCUCGUAGUUGGAUUUCUGUUGAGGGUGACCGGUCCAUACCACGUAUGCGCAUCUGGUUCAGCCUCGGCAUCCUGUCGAUACACGUUUCUGCGCUUGAUUGCGUGGAGCGGGGGUCGGCACUUUUACUUUGAGGAAAUUAGAGUGUUCACGGCAGGCUAUCGCCCGAAUACGUUAGCAUGGAAUAAUACUAUAGGAUCUCGAUUCUAUUUUGUUGGUUUCUAGAAUUGAGGUAAUGAUUAAUAGGGACAAUUGGGGGCAUUUGUAUCAACACGUCAGAGGUGGAAUUCUUGGAUUGUGUUGCGACAAACUACUGCGAAAGCAUUUGCCAAGGAUGUUUUCAUUGAUCAAGAACGAAAGUAAGGGGAUCGAAGAUGAUUAGAUACCGUCGUAGUCUUUACCACAAACUAUGCCGACUAGAGAUGGGACAUCGUUCAUUCACGACUUGUUCCGCACCUUAUGGAUACUAAAGUCUUUGGGUUCCGGGGGGAGUAUGGUCGCAAGACUGGAACUUAAAAGGAAUUGACGGAAGGGCACCACCCAGGAGUGGAGCCCUGCGGC